rnacentral:lncRNA from 1 species
CGUGACCCAGUCUGCACCCAAAAGUGCUGCAGCAGUGCACCAAACAGCAACCAGCAUAGGGUGUUCUGCAGAAUUUCGUCUCUUUGAGUGAAUACUUGGCAGCUGAGAGGAAUUGCGUGAAUUGAUCAUAAUUCAAUCAUUGUUUGGAGAAGCCAAAGCUGCACACAUCUUUUCCUUAGCCAAUUUUCAUUUCCUUUGUCAUUUACCAAGUUUUAUUGUAAUUUUUCUUUGGUUUUUAAUUUCAAAUCCAAGCAAGUGAGGUGCUAGAGUUCACAAGUGCUCUUCCCUCAUUUGUAACUAGACUCAAAGAAGUCUCACAACCUAAAAUUGGUUAGACGGUGAGUGUGUCUUAGAUCCAACAUCUAAGCCUCACCUAGGAGACCUCACCUUAAUUGCUUUUCCAAUUCUCGACUAGAUAGCUUAUAUCUUGUGNGAAUAGGAAACUCUCAUAGGGGUCCGAUUUUAGAGUCUAGGUUGUUUUUGUUUCUUUGCUUUGUGUGUUUGUCUUUAAGACUUAAGUGGAUUUAAGAGUGAUUUUGACUUAAAGACUCUAGUAAGUAGCUAGAAGCAUAUUUGGCAAGGAUAAGGCUUAGUACUUAAGCAUUCCUAGUGAANNN